UACGUAGGGCGCAAGCGUUAUCCGGAAUUAUUGGGCGUAAAGAGCUCGUAGGCGGUUUGUCGCGUCUGCCGUGAAAGUCCGGGGCUCAACUCCGGAUCUGCGGUGGGUACGGGCAGACUAGAGUGAUGUAGGGGAGACUGGAAUUCCUGGUGUAGCGGUGAAAUGCGCAGAUAUUAGGAGGAACACCGUGGCGAAGGCGGUCUCUGG
rnacentral:rRNA from 1 species